UCCAGUUUCCUUCUCUCUCCCAUUUUGAAUGCUAUCAUCAAGAUUAUUCCCCUUCCUAAUACACCUUGUUGAUGACUUAAAUAGUUGCCUUUCCAGUAUCCUGAUCCAAUAAAUCUAUAGUCUCUUCAAGCUCUUCUUCCUCGCAUCCAUCAUCUUCUUAUCCACCUGAGCUUUCACAGCAAGUCCGUCCUUCCUGUGAGCUGCUGAU
rnacentral:lncRNA from 1 species